GACGAACGCUGGCGGCGUGCCUAACACAUGCAAGUCGAACGAGGUCCAUCCCGUGGCAACACGGGUGAAGACCUAGUGGCGAACGGGUGAGUAACACGUGAGGAACCUGCCCCGAAGACCGGGAUAACCCUCCGAAAGGAGAGCUAAUACCGGAUGUCCCCACCUGGCCGCAUGACCGGGUGAGGAAAUGGAUUCCGCUUCGGGAGGGCCUCGCGGCCUAUCAGCUUGUUGGUGGGGUAACGGCCCACCAAGGCAUCGACGGGUAGCUGGUCUGAGAGGACGAUCAGCCACACUGGGACUGAGACACGGCCCAGACUCCUACGGGAGGCAGCAGUGGGGAAUCUUGCGCAAUGGGCGAAAGCCUGACGCAGCAACGCCGCGUGGGGGAUGAAGGCUCUCGGGUUGUAAACCCCUUUCAGCGGGGACGAAUCAAGACGGUACCUGCAGAAGAAGCCCCGGCUAACUACGUGCCAGCCGCCGCCGUAAAAC
rnacentral:rRNA from 1 species